GCCAUUGAUGGAUCGGGUUGUGGUUUUUUGUGGCGUGAUUUCGAGAGUUUUCUCUACUACUUUUGAAUGAAAAUCGCCGUGAAAAAGCUUUAAGUGAAGUAGGUCUUAUCUAAAAGUGUUUAUCAGUAGCAAAAGCUUCCGUAAAUUUUAUUUUCAUCAACUUUGUGGGGCUUGUAUUCGUGUUCAAGGAGCAGAAAACAAAAUACCAGUGCGCAGACCGAGAUGAAAACUUGACUCAUUUUGCCGUUUAAGAUGAAACGUCUCCAAGAAAAUAAACUUUGUUAAAAGUU